AAAACAUAGCCUACUAUUUAACUUAGGUACAACCCUGCCCUCUGACUUUUAACAGCCGCGGUAUCCUAACCGUGCUAAGGUAGCAUAAUCACUUGCCUAUUAAUUAUAGGCUAGAAUGAACGGGAUCACUCACUUAAACUUAUUUUUAUUUAAAUUUAAAUUAAACUUUAAGUCAAAAUACUAAAUUAAAAAGAAAGACAAAAAGACCCUGAAAACUAUUAGAAAUAAUUAGUUGGGGCAACUAUAGACCACUCUAGCGUCUAUUUUUUUUAAACUCUUAAAAUCUAAAGUAUCCAGUUACUUCAGGGAUAACAGACUAAUUUUAUUAUUUAGACCCAAUAAAUAAUAAAGAUUGGCACCUCGAUGUUGGCUUAUAUUUCCUUCAUAUAGCAACAUAUAUAGAAGGCAGCUUGUUCAUCUGUUAAAUAUUUACAUGA
rnacentral:rRNA from 1 species